rnacentral:tRNA from 1 species
GGUGGAGUGGCCGAGUGGCGAGGCAGCGGCUCGCAACGCCGUGUACAUAGGUUCGAGUCCUAUCUCCACCU